UUUCCAUGCUUCGUGCCUGGCCCUGUGAGCCCACCUGCCUGCAGCCCUACUUCCCAGGCCCCUCAUCACCCCUCCACUGCUCCCGUCUGUCUCCAUGCUCCAGGGCUAGCCGUGGGCCUGGACCCCGAGGGCUAUGGGAACCCUGACUUCUGCUGGCUCUCCAUCUAUGACACGCUCAUCUGGAGUUUUGCUGGCCCGGUGGCCUUUGCCGUCUCGAUGAGUGUCUUCCUGUACAUCCUGGCGGCCCGGGCCUCCUGUGCUGCCCAGCGGCAGGGCUUUGAGAAGAAAGGUCCUGUGUGAGUAUAGGGUUGGGGUGCCUGGGCCGUGGGCAGGCACCAGCAUGGGAGGCCUCAUGGCCGGACUCAUGGCCUGUCCCUAUCCCCAGCUCGGGCCUGCAGCCCUCCUUCGCCGUCCUCCUGCUGCUGAGCGCCACGUGGCUGCUGGCACUGCUCUCUGUCAACAGCGACACCCUCCUCUUCCACUACCUCUUUGCUACCUGCAAUUGCAUCCAGGUACCUGGCCCAGCCUGUGGAGAAGGGAGGCACCUGGGCUGUGGGUGCCUGAAUAUGCACAGACCGUUGCUGCCUCUUGCCUGCCAGGGCCCCUUCAUCUUCCUCUCCUAUGUGGUGCUUAGCAAGGAGGUCCGGAAAGCACUCAAGCUUGCCUGCAGCCGCAAGCCCAGCCCUGACCCUGCUCUGACCACCAAGUCCACCCUGACCUCGUCCUACAACUGCCCCAGCCCCUACGCAGAUGGGCGGCUGUACCAGCCCUACGGAGACUCGGCCGGCUCUCUGCACAGCACCAGCCGCUCGGGCAAGAGUCAGCCCAGCUACAUCCCCUUCUUGCUGAGGGAGGAGUCCACACUGAACCCUGGCCAAGGGCCCCCUGGCCUGGGGGAUCCAGGCAGUCUGUUCCUGGAAGGUCAAGACCAGCAGCAUGGUGAGGACGGAAGGCUCCGGCCGCCCGGCGGGGCAGUUGGCUGGCUUUUACUGAAGGUGGGUGGAGGUGGCUGGGCUGGCUGUGAUCUCUCCCUGGCCUCCUAGAUCCUGACACGGACUCUGACAGUGACCUGUCCUUAGAAGACGACCAGAGUGGCUCCUAUGCCUCUACCCACUCAUCAGACAGUGAGGAAGAAGAAGAGGAAGAGGAAGAGGAGGCCGCCUUCCCUGGAGAGCAGGGCUGGGAUAGCCUGCUGGGGCCUGGAGCAGAGAGACUGCCCCUGCACAGUACUCCCAAGGAUGGGGGCCCAGGGCCUGGCAAGGCCCCCUGGCCAGGAGACUUUGGGACCACAGCAAAAGAGAGUAGUGGCAACGGGGCCCCUGAGGAGCAGCUGCGGGAGAAUGGAGAUGCCCUGUCUCGAGAGGGGUCCCUAGGCCCCCUUCCAGGCUCUUCUGCCCAGCCUCACAAAGGUGAGUGGGGCACCCCCAGCUGCCGAGCUCCCCUAGUCAGCAGCCUCAUACCUCACAUUCUCCUGUGGCCGCCCGCACCUCACAGCCCCGCCCCGGCCCACAGGCAUCCUUAAGAAGAAGUGUCUGCCCACCAUCAGCGAGAAGAGCAGCCUCCUGCGACUCCCCCUGGAGCAAUGCACAGGGUCUUCCCGGGGCUCCUCCGCCAGUGAGGGCAGCCGGGGCGGCCCCCUUCCCCGCCCACCGCCCCGGCAGAGCCUCCAGGAGCAGCUGAACGGGGUCAUGCCCAUCGCCAUGAGCAUCAAGGCAGGCACCGUGGAUGAGGACUCGUCAGGCUCCGAGUGAGUGUGGCCGGGUGGGCGGGAUGGGGUGCAGCCCCGUGGGAGGCCUCACCUGGGUCCAGAGCUGCCUCCGGGCCUCCCCGGGUGACUCUGGAUGGCAUUUGGAGGACAAAUGGGCAGAACUGGCCCAGCUCCCUUACUAUGCCGUGCCCACAAACCAUGGUGCCUUGCGGGGAGGGCCACCCCUCCUAGGCUCUAUGUGGCGCAGCCCAGCCUAGGGCAGAGUGUGGGAGGAUGGGGAGCUGGGGGUGCUUUCCUGUUUCCUUCGUCUGGUGAAAGCUUUCACUCUCUCCUCUGUUUCAACUAACCCUCUGUCUGCCUUUUCUGCCACUUUCCUUUCCUGCCUCUCCAGAUUUCUCUUCUUUAACUUCCUGCAUUAACCCUGGGCCGUGGUUCCUACGCCCGAGGCUCCCUUCCCUUCCCCAGCCGCACUCAUGCCCUGCUCCUGUCUUGUGCUUUAUCCUGCCCCGCUCCCCAUCGCCUGCCCGCAGCAGCGACGAAACGUCCAUCUGAGGAGCCUGGGCCUUGCCGGGAGGGGUACUCACCCCACCUAAGGCCAUCUAGUGCCAACUCCCCCCCCCCACCAUUCCCCUCACUGCACUUUGGACCCCUGGGGCCAACAUCUCCAAGACAAAGUUUUUCAGAAAAGAGGAAAAAAAGAAUUUAAAAAAGGAUCUCCACUCUUCAUGACUUCAGGGAUUCAUUUUUUUUAUACGCUGGAAAUUGACUCCCCUUUCCCUUCCCAAAGAGGAUAGGACCUCCCAGGAUGCUUCCCAGCCUCUCCUCAGUUUCCCAUCUGCUGUGCCUCUGGGAGGAGAGGGACUCCUGGGGGGCCUGCCCCUCAUUCGCCAUCACCAAAAGGAAAGGACAAAGCCACACGCAGCCAGGGCGUCAUACCCUUCGGGCUGCACCCGGGCAGGCCUCAGAACGGUGAGGGGCCAGGGCAAAGGGUGUGCCUCGCCCUGCCCGCGCUGCCUCUCCCAGGAACUGGAAAAGCCCUGUCUGGCGAGGGGGCAGAAGGACUCAGUGCCCCUGGACCCCCAAAUGCUGCAUGAACACAUUUUCAGGGGAGCCUGUGCCCCCAGGUGGGGGUCGGGCAGCCCCAGCCCCUCUCCUUUUCCUGGACUCUGGCCGUGCGCAGCAGCCCAGGUGUUUGCUCAGUUGCUGACCCAAAAGUGCUUCAUUUUUCCUGCCCGCCCCGCACCCCGGGCAGGCCAGUCAUGUGUUAAGUUGCGCUUCUUUGCUGUGGUGUGGGUGGGGGAGGAAGAGUAAACACAGUGCUGGCUCGGCUGCCCUAAGGGUGCUCAGUCAAGCACAGGUUUCAAGUCUGGGUUCUGGUGUCCACUCACCCACCCCACCCCCUAAAAUCAGACAAAUGCUACUUUGUCUAACCUGCUGUGGCCUCUGACACAUGUUCUAUUUUUAACCCCUUCUUGGAAUUGGCUCUCUUCUUCAAAGGACCAGGUCCUGUUCCUCUUUCUCCCCGACUCCACCCCAGCUCCCUGUGAAGAGAGAGUUAAUAUAUUUGUUUUAUUUAUUUGCUUUUUGUGUUGGGAUGGGUUCAUGUCCAGUCCCAGGGGUCUGAUAUGGCCAUCACAGGCUGGGUGUUCCCAGCAGCCCUGGCUUGGGGGCUUGACGCCCUUCCCCUUGCCCCAGGCCGUCAUCUCCCCACCUCUCCUCCCCUCUCCUCAGUUUUGCCGACUGCUUUUCAUCUGAGUCACCAUUUACUCCAAGCAUGUAUUCCAGACUUGUCACUGACUUUCCUUCUGGAGCAGGUGGCUAGAAAAAGAGGCUGUGGGCAGGAAAGAAAGGCUCCUGUUUCUCAUUUGUGAGGCCAGCCUCUGGCUUUUCUGCCGUGGAUUCUCCCCAUCUUCUCCCCUCAGCAAUUCCUGCAAAGGGUUAAAAAUUUAACUGGUUUUUACUACUGAUGACUUGAUUU
rnacentral:sRNA from 1 species